rnacentral:lncRNA from 1 species
ACUCUUCUUCUACUUCAUUUUUUAGUUCUUUUAUAGCAUUUACUGUAAGGAUAAGCCCAACAUGAUUUAUCCAAGCCUCUAUUGUUAACCAUAUAAACAUUUCAGAUUUUUCAAUUAUAAACAUCACAGUGAUGACAUCCUUAAAUUUGAACCCAUCCACACAUAUUUUCUUAGAAUACACUGUUAGAAGUAGAAUUGCCAUUUGUGUUUUUUUACAAUAGAGAAAUUAUUAAAGUUAUUUUGAAAAAAGAGUUUGCAAUAAAGAUUUAAGGAAUGAAAAAUGAAAUCAUGACCUUCUUUGUUUCUAUAGAGGAGUCAAAUGAAGUUGUUCCAAAUGAGGCAAGGGCUCAUAAGGAAGAGAACCACCAUGCAGUAUCUGCAGAUAAUGUGAAAAUAGAAAUUAUUGAUGAUGAAGAAAGUGAUAUGAUAAGUAAUUCUGAAGUAGAGCAAGUGAAUUCUUUCUUGGAUUAUAAGAAUGAAGAAGUCAGAUUCAUUGAAAAUGAGUUAGAGAUUCAGAAGCAAAAAAAUUUUAAACUUCAGACAUUUGUAAGAAGCUUGAUACUAGCCAUAAAAGCUGACAAUAAGGAACAACAACAGGCAUUGCUGUCAGAUUUACCUCCUGAAUUAGAAGAGAUGGAUUUCAAUCAUGCCUCGCCGGAGCCUGAUGAUACCUCAUUCAGUCUGUCUUCUUUAUCAGAGAAAAAUGCCUCAGACAGUUUGUGA